rnacentral:rRNA from 1 species
AUUGAACGCUGGCGGCAUGCCUUACACAUGCAAGUCGAACGGCAGCACGGGUGCUUGCACCUGGUGGCGAGUGGCGAACGGGUGAGUAAUAUAUCGGAACGUACCUUAUUGUGGGGGAUAACGCAGCGAAAGCUGUGCUAAUACCGCAUAAUCCCUAAGGGGGAAAGCGGGGGACCGUAAGGCCUCGCGCAAUUAGAGCGGCCGAUACCUGAUUAGCUAGUUGGUGGGGUAAAGGCUCACCAAGGCAACGAUCAGUAGCUGGUCUGAGAGGACGAUCAGCCACACUGGGACUGAGACACGGCCCAGACUCCUACGGGAGGCAGCAGUGGGGAAUUUUGGACAAUGGGGGCAACCCUGAUCCAGCAAUGCCGCGUGAGUGAAGAAGGCCUUCGGGUUGCAAAGCUCUUUUGUCAGGGAAGAAACAGCAGCUCUAACACAGUUUGCGAAUGACGGUACCUGAAGAAUAAGCACCGGCUAACUACGUGCCAGCCGCCGCCGUAA